GNGGAUGGCGGUGCUACCAUGCAGUCGAACGAUGAAGCCCAGCUUGCUGGGUGGAUUAGUGGCGAACGGGUGAGUAACACGUGAGUAACCUGCCCUUAACUCUGGGAUAAGCCUGGGAAACUGGGUCUAAUACCGGAUAGGAGCGCCUACCGCAUGGUGGGUGUUGGAAAGAUUUAUCGGUUUUGGAUGGACUCGCGGCCUAUCAGCUUGUUGGUGAGGUAAUGGCUCACCAAGGCGACGACGGGUAGCCGGCCUGAGAGGGUGACCGGCCACACUGGGACUGAGACACGGCCCAGACUCCUACGGGAGGCAGCAGUGGGGAAUAUUGCACAAUGGGCGAAAGCCUGAUGCAGCGACGCCGCGUGAGGGAUGACGGCCUUCGGGUUGUAAACCUCUUUCAGUAGGGAAGAAGCGAAAGUGACGGUACCUGCAGAAGAAGCACCGGCUAACUACGUGCCAGCAGCCGCGGUAAUACGUAGGGUGCGAGCGUUAUCCGGAAUUAUUGGGCGUAAAGAGCUCGUAGGCGGUUUGUCGCGUCUGUCGUGAAAGUCCGGGGCUUAACCCCGGAUCUGCGGUGGGUACGGGCAGACUAGAGUGCAGUAGGGGAGACUGGAAUUCCUGGUGUAGCGGUGGAAUGCGCAGAUAUCAGGAGGAACACCGAUGGCGAAGGCAGGUCUCUGGGCUGUAACUGACGCUGAGGAGCGAAAGCAUGGGGAGCGAACAGGAUUAGAUACCCUGGUAGUCCAUGCCGUAAACGUUGGGCACUAGGUGUGGGGGACCAUUCCACGGUUUC
rnacentral:rRNA from 1 species